AUAUUCCUGAACGAAAUCACAGGAUCAAUGCAUCAACCAACUAAUCAAGAAUGAGGGGAAAAUAGCACAUCCCAUGGAGGACUCAUGCUCCUGGUAGGGUGAAUGUCUGCCUCCUGGGAAUGAGAUGCUGGAGAUAGGCCCCCUAAUGGGCUCUCCUAAAAUAGCUCUGCAAGCUCUGUAUAUUAGAGCUCAAUCCAUUCCCUCCACACAAGAGAGGGCAGAGAGGAUGAAUGGAAAUUGCCCUCUCCACCCUGACCAUUUCUCCCCCAGUCUAUGUCCCUAGUUCCCCAAAACCCCAUCACAGUCAGGUCCCACUCAGAGGAAUUUCAGCAGCCCAGUUCUAGUUACCCUCAGGAGCUAAACUCCUUACUUUGCUUACAGGUCACCAUCCCAAUUAAUAGUGAGUGGCAGCCCAGUACCACAACGAGAUGAAAAUGUUUCACUAGGUUAAGAAAAGAAAACCAACCCCUUUUCUAUGCAGUUCCUACUCCCAGGGUUCCUGAGGGGUCACUUCCCUGAGUCCUACAGGCACCCAGCCUUGUUCUUGGGGCCCAGGCUCUCAUGGUGUCCCAUGGAGGGUUCAUACUAUCCCCCCACCCUGAACACCCACUGCCAGCCCCUAACCUCUGGCAAAGGUCACCCAGGAGACUUCUCAGGCCCCACCUACCUUCGUAGACCUUCCUCAGGAAGCACUGCUGGCUGCCUUGAGUGUGGCAGAAGCUUCCCCUGUUCUCGCAAACCCCGCUGGCAUUGACUCGGUGACACUGGAAACAUUCUAGAGCUGGAAAGUCAAAGCAGCAUAAUAAGGCUCUUAUGGCCCAGCAUCCCGGCUGCUCAGGAGGGAGCACACCUGUGACCCAGGUGCGCCUGGACACUGACCAGCUCCCAGUGCCUGAGGAAUGUGCUGAAAGCAGGUCAUUUCUCCAUGCUUGGCUUGCACCUGGGAGGAGGCGUGCGCGCCUCUAGGCACAAGGUCUGCACCUGAGCACAGAGGGCUCUGCCUGUCCUCCCAGGGAUGGGCUGUGCUGCUGGAGGAAUGAGGUCAAGCCUUUCACUGCAGCUCCAUUGACCCCACUUGCCAACUGAUUAUCACCCCAACACCAAGGGGCACCAUUGAAAAUGUUCCAUGUGAAUGGCAUCUGCAGGAGCAGAACAGGUGAUGGUUGGAGUUGCAAAGGAGUCGGCACUGCCCACCCCUGCUCCGUCCUGGCUGCAGCUUCACAAAGCCUCCCCUCACCCUCCUUCACACAGAGCCCCACCCUCCACUCUCCCUUUCAUCUGAGGAGUCGGGCUCCAAGGAGAACGCCAGGACUCAGCCUAAAAGGAGAGCUGAAGGGGACAGCUGACUACUUAAACGGCUGGGAGAAGUUGGGAAACUGGUUCCAGGAAGAUCCACAGGCAAGUGCACAGAAGGGUUCUGAGACGGAAUUAGCUUGGCCAGCUUGAGAAACAAACAGAACAACACAGGUGUGCAGACAAUAGAUUUUAAAGAAAGAGAAAGUAACAGAGGGCUAGGAAAGAGGGUGGAAACUGGAAGGAAGCCACAAGUCAACCGAAUCCGUGCAAAAUGUGAGAAAUUAAAGCUGGCAGCCUUGAAGUCUCUCCCCUGUGCCCCACAUCUGGGCCUCAGGAGCUCCCUCCUUUACCACUGGUGGGAGUUUCAAACCACACAAGCCCCUACCUGAAUGCAGGAACCCUUGCCCUGUCUGUCCCCCUCACCACC